rnacentral:rRNA from 1 species
ACACGUAGGGGGCGAGCGUUGUUCGGAAUUACUGGGCGUAAAGGGCAUGUAGGCGGCUCUGUAAGUCCGGCGUGGAAGCCUGCAGCUUAACUACAGGAUUGCGCUGGAAACUGUGGGGCUUGAAUCAUGGAGAGGGAGCUAGAAUUCCAGGUGUAGGGGUGAAAUCUGUAGAGAUUUGGAAGAAUACCAGUGGCGAAGGCGAGCGCCUGGCCAAUGAUUGACGCUGAGGUGCGAAAGUGUGGGGAUCAAACAGGAUUAGAUACCCUGGUAGUCCACACUGUAAACGAUGCACACUAGGUGCUGGGGCGGAUGCUUCAGUGCCGGAGCUAACGUGGUAAGUGUGCCGCCUGGGGAGUAUGCUCGCAAGGGUGAA